rnacentral:lncRNA from 15 species
ACUUUUAAUGAUUUUUGUAAACUUAUAUUGUCUUUGGACAUUCUGCCUAAUGCCUUGCUCAAAAUAAAGAGGAAUUAUGGUAAAAAUGUUGAUUUGAGUAUGCACAGUAUGUCAGCUCCCAGUUGUUUCCUCUAGUGUAGCAGCAGCAGCAGCAGCACCCUCUGCUGUCUGUACAGAGAAAUGUAAAAGCUUACAGCACCUGGUAUUCCCAGGCGGUCUCCCAUCCAAGUACUAACCAGGCCCGACCCUGCUUAGCUUCCGAGAUCGGACGAGAUCGGGCGUGUUCAGGGUGGUAUGGCCGUAAGCGAAAACUACUUUCUCAAAGAGGCUAUUUAAAGGUGCUGUGAUAUGAUGUAGUCUUAUAUUUUUAAAUGUAGAUUGUUUCAAAACAAGACAAAUAAUUUUACAAUGAUAUAAAAUAUCCAUUAUAACACACAGUGCAUCUCCCUGUUAUUGUUACAUUAUUCUAUAUCAUAUUAAAGCAUUUAUCAAUACUGAUGUAUUACCGUGGAAGCAGUAUUUUCAUUUUGUAGCUUCUGGAGGACAAACUGCUUUAAUUACUUUAUAUACUGUUGAGUCGUUUAAUCUGGAAGAUAUCACAUAAAUGUAGUGGAGUAGAAAAUACAAAGAUUGAAGUACAAGUACCUCAAAAUUAUAGCCUACUUAAGUACAAUGAUUGAUUAAAUGUACUACUAUACUCAGUUGUAUUGCUUCUUACCCAGAAUUUAUAGAAACAUGCUGAUGUUUGUAUUUAUGUAAAUGAACACAGAUGUUCAUCAUCAUCUUUAAAGAGGCUUUUGUUUACUUCUUACAGUUGCUUACGCCCUUAGAUAAACGCCCCUAAACCGUUUCCCAUUCAUUCUCUGUGGUAGUGCUAAACCACUACGGGUGUAAUGUGCACUCCGGCCACUGCCGCCUUUGGCGCUGUAACCGCCUAAAACUCCGUCUCGCCUCCUCGACUGUGUCAGUGAACAGAGAAGAGGAGAGAUGAAGUCGACAUCGCCAACUACUCCUGACAUUUGGAUUUGUUUUCUUCAACUAAGGUCAGUAACUUUUGUGACAAAAAC